GUUUAUUUACUGGUUCAUAACUUAAAAUUUGAAAUUGUUGAAAAUCAUUCUUGCUUGGGUUACCUCCCUUCUUGAGAAAAAAAACAAGUCUCUUAUUCUUUUUCAUAUCAAUGAUUCACAGCCUUUUUGCAAUGAUCGUAAGGAAUGCUAUUGUCAACUUAUUUUUUUUUCUACAUUUUUAAAAUUAAUAAUAAUGAAAAUAUUGUUUAUAUUUGAUUGGACGGAUUAAAUUCAGACUGGCAACCGUCGUAGGUGUUAAUGUUAUAAUCAAAAUAUAAAUUCUAUGCAAAGCAAUUUUUUUAAAAUGAAUCUUCGAAAAAUUAUGACUUGCAUGAUUUCUAACUGAAAUACCUUUUGGAGUAUUGUAUGUAAUUUGAAUAUGUUCAACCAUUGUUUCUCUUUUUUCUUGGAUAGUAAUUUUCCAGCACCAAUCGGUAAAAUGUAUCACAUUUUAUAAAGUGUAUAUUUAAGUGAAGAAAUUGGUAUUACAUUUUAUAACUUGUAUACUUAAAUGAAAGAAUUAAUGUGUAAAAUG
rnacentral:lncRNA from 1 species